AUGAAAGCGAGGCAGCCCAGGAAGAUGUCGGAAGUCAAAGGUUCAUUCCGGGUGUUUAUUAGGUUUGCGAGGACCAGGAUGUUGGCAGGAUUCAUCUCAUCUUUACCAGAACCUCGUGAGCGUUUCAGGGCCCAGAGGAUGGCCACGUUACACACCACCAUCCAGGUGAAAGCAAACAAAACCUCACCAGUGAAAACCUUCUCAAAGUUGUGGAUGCCACCAAUGGUUUUGGCUGAAGCAUAAGCAAAAGUGAGCAGCAGAACCACGAUGGUAAGGCUGAUCCUGUAUUUGAUGUCCUUCAGUUGUCCGAAUGCAAUGGGAAAGACAACAGCUAUAAAGCGAUCCAGACAGACGCAGGAGAGGAAGAGCGGCCCACUGGUGUCCUUCACGCCGUAUGAGAACUUCAUAGCUCUCCAACCCAUAGCGCUCCUCCAGUGGUAGAAAGUGAGGAACGCUAUGAUUGUCAUGAAUCCAAAGUAGGCGUCCAUGAAAGCCAGGCAGCCCAGGAAGAUGUCGGAAGUUAAUGGUUCAUUUCGGGUCUUUAUUAGGUUUGCAAGAACCAGGAUGUUGGCAGGUAUUCCUAUGAUCACGUUGAAGCAUUGUAUGGCUAGGUCAAAAACAACACCGGCCACCAUUUCUUCACACCCAUCGAACACACUGAAGACAUGUGUGGCAUUGACUGAAUUGGUGGUCAGGUUAGAGGAGGGCAGGCUGCUUCUGAGGAUGUAGCUGAAUCUUGUGUCGUGGCGUAGUCGACCCUCCAUGAUGUCCAAAGAGCUGAAAUGAGAUUCUAGAAGGAACAGUGAAAAUUAUGUUAAUUGAACUUGCUAAUAUGCCAAACUCACAAAUUAUUUUUUAAAUAUAAUAUCAGACAGACUGAAAUCUGGUGCACAGUGUGUUUUUCGGUCUGUUUCUUGAGUCAUUUUGUGCUGAUACUGCUUACAGUAUACUGCACAAACCUAAACAAUACAUGCUUUAAUGUUUUGCCUGAAAAAAUAUUUCAUCAGAGGAGAAGUUUAUUUGCAAUAGCAAAGGAAAAUAAUCAAC
ensembl:lncRNA